rnacentral:rRNA from 1 species
ACAGGCCGCAAGGUGCUGACGAGUGGCGAACGGGUGAGUAAUGCAUCGGAACGUGCCCAGUCGUGGGGGAUAACGCAGCGAAAGCUGCGCUAAUACCGCAUACGAUCUAUGGAUGAAAGCGGGGGACCGUAAGGCCUCGCGCGAUUGGAGCGGCCGAUGUCAGAUUAGGUAGUUGGUGGGGUAAAGGCUCACCAAGCCAACGAUCUGUAGCUGGUCUGAGAGGACGACCAGCCACACUGGGACUGAGACACGGCCCAGACUCCUACGGGAGGCAGCAGUGGGGAAUUUUGGACAAUGGGCGCAAGCCUGAUCCAGCAAUGCCGCGUGCAGGAAGAAGGCCUUCGGGUUGUAAACUGCUUUUGUACGGAACGAAAAGGCUCUGGUUAAUACCUGGGGCACAUGACGGUACCGUAAGAAUAAGCACCGGCUAACUACGUGCCAGCAGCCGCGGUAAUACGUAGGGUGCAAGCGUUAAUCGGAAUUACUGGGCGUAAAGCGUGCGCAGGCGGUUUUGUAAGGCAGGCGUGAAAUCCCCGGGCUUAACCUGGGAAUUGCGCUUGUGGCUGCAAGGCUGGAGUGCGGCAGAGGGGGAUGGAAUUCCGCGUGUAGCAGUGA